rnacentral:rRNA from 1 species
UACGUAGGGAGCAAGCGUUGUUCGGAUUUACUGGGCGUAAAGGGCGCGUAGGCGGCAUAUUAAGUCAUCUGUGAAAUCUCCGAGCUUAACUCGGAACUGUCAGCUGAUACUGAUGUGCUAGAGUGCGGAAGGGGCAAUCGGAAUUCUCGGUGUAGCGGUGAAAUGCGUAGAUAUCAAGAGGAACACCUGAGGUGAAGACGGGUUGCUGGGCCGACACUGACGCUGAGUGCGCGAAAGCCAGGGGAGCAAACGGG